GGGUUAGUCGGGUCCUAAGCUGAGGCCGACAGGCGUAGGCGAUGGAUAACAGGUUGAUAUUCCUGUACCACCUAUAAUCGUUUUAAUCGAUGGGGGGGACGCAGUAGGAUAGGCGAAGCGUGCGAUUGGAUUGCACGUCUAAGCAGUAAGGCUGAGUAUUAGGCAAAUCCGGUACUCAUUAAGGCUGAGCUGUGAUGGGGAGAAGACAUUGUGUCUUCGAGUCGUUGAUUUCACACUGCCGAGAAAAGCCUCUAGAUAGAAAAUAGGUGCCCGUACC
rnacentral:rRNA from 1 species